rnacentral:rRNA from 1 species
CAGUAGCCGCGGGAAUACGUAGGGUGCGAGCGUUAAUCGGAAUUACUGGGCGUAAAGCGUGCGCAGGCGGUUAUAUAAUACAGAUGUGAAAUCCCCGGGCUCAACCCGGGACCUGCAUUUGUGACUGUAUAGCUAGAGUACGGUAGAGGGGGAUGGAAUUCCGCGUGUAGCAGUGAAAUGCGUAGAUAUGCGGAGGAACACCGAUGGCGAAGGCAGCCCCCUGGGCCAAUACUGACGCUCAUGCACGAAAGCGUGGGGAGCAAACAGGAUUAGAGACCCCCGUAGUCCCUGUCUCUUAUAA